rnacentral:ncRNA from 1 species
AGCACUGUUUCUACUGGUGCUGGCAGAUGUAAGUCCGACGUGCACCACGCUGCACGGGCCUGGCAAUGACCGGCCUCCUGGGAUUAC